UGCGUAGGUGGUCCGUUAAGUCAGUUGUGAAAUCCCCGGGCUCAACCCGGGAACUGCUUCUGAUACUGGCGGACUUGAGGCCGGUAGGGGUCACUGGAACAGACGGUGGAGCGGUGAAAUGCGUAGAUAUCGUCUGGAGCGCCGGUGGUGAAGACGGGUGACUUGGCCGGUUCUGACACUGAGGCACGAAAGCGUGGGGAGCGAAG
rnacentral:rRNA from 1 species